AGAAGAAGAACGAAGAAA
rnacentral:sRNA from 1 species